AGAGGGUGCAAACGUUGUUCGGAAUCACUGGGCAUAAAGCGCACGUAGGCGGUCGUGUAAGUGUGGAGUGAAAUCCUAUGGCUUACCCACUAGAACUGCUUUGUCAUACUGCACGACUCGAGGAUGGUAGGGGAGGAGCGGAACUCUUGGAGGAGCGGUGAAAUGCGUAGAUAUCAAGAGGAACACCAAUGGCGAAGGCAGCUCUCUGGUCCAUUUCUGACGCUGAGGUGCGAAAGCUAGGGUAGCGAACGGGAUUAGAUACCCGGUAGUCCUAGCCCGUAAACGAUGAGCACUAGUUAGGGGUCCUCCCUGUGGGAUCCCUGACGAAGCUAAUGUAUUAAGUGCUCCCGCCUGGGGAGUAUGGUCGCAAGGCUA
rnacentral:rRNA from 1 species